GGUGGUUUCGUGUUGUUUAUUCUUUAGUUUUCUAUGUUGUGACAUGUGUACUAUUGUUUGUCUGUUUGUCUUUUUCAUUUUUAGAAAUGGCGUUGUCAGUUUAUUUUAGGUGUAUGAGUUUGACUGUCCCUUUGGUAUCUUUCGUCCCUCUGUUAGAAAACAUUCUUUCAGUUUCAGAGUUGGGUAUUGAUGGUAAAGUUUUUGAUAGUUCCUUUCAGAUAAAUUAGAAACGUGUUUGGACAUGUGACGAUUAAGACCAUGAGGUAUUAAACAUAAACCUGUCAUUCAUU
rnacentral:lncRNA from 1 species